rnacentral:miRNA from 14 species
CCGGAACUCACUUUGUAUACCAGGCUGGCCUUGAGUUCAUAGAGAUCCGCCUGCCUCUGCCUCCCAGGUGCUGGGAU